rnacentral:siRNA from 1 species
UACAAAUGUUUAAAAUCCUUGUA